AUACUAAAAAUCCUUCAUUCCCUUGACUUUCCAGGUAUAUUAAGCCUCUGAAAUGUUGACUACUUACCUUUUAGAUUAACAGACUCCAGCAUUCCAAACUGGGAAGGAAGGUCACAGGGAAACUGUGGAGGAAGAAACUCUUUCCCUGGAUCCUCUAUCAGCUUGUGGUGGUGAGUGGAGUGAUUCCUUCCUUGGUUCUUCAGUGAGGAGAUCCUCUCUCUUGGCACGUUGGUGGGACACUCCCUUCAGCCUGAGUUCUGGUGAGAUUCUUUUUUUUUUUAAAGUUAAUUUAUUUAGUCAAUUAAGAACAUUAUUCCUUGGUUACAAUACUCACUUUAUUUCCCUCCCUCUCCUCCACCCACCCUUCCCCACAGCCAAUGCACAAUUUCAUUGGGUAUUACUUGUGUCCUUGAUCAGAAUCUAUUUCCAUGUUGUUGGUGUUUGCAUUAGGAUGUUCAUUAAGAGUCUAUCUGGUGAGAUUCUUGGUGGUCUUAGACUCAUGUGCACCGAAGGUUCUUGGCAUAUUCUUGAGCAUCUCCUGGCUCUUCAGAUUUUGGCUUCCUAAUUAGGAUUCUGGAUUCUGGUAAGAUUUGCUUUUUGAUUCGCAUUUUCAAU
rnacentral:lncRNA from 1 species